UUUCAUUUGAGUUUGGAUUACGUUUGUUUGCGGGUAUUAUAUGUGCAGGUGUUUACAGGAGUCCGGCAGCCUUCAAGUCGGCGAGCAUCUUGACGACGUGCUCGGGCAUGGGGGGAGGUGUGGGCAAAUGGUCACCGGUGGCCUGGAAUCCGUUUUCAUCGGCGACCCAGUUGACGGUGA